rnacentral:misc_RNA from 1 species
GGGAAUGAUGCUUACAAAAUGCUUAAGCAACGAGCAAAUUGCAGCAUAGUGCAUGUCUUACAUUCUCAAGAUCUAGAAGAAAGAAGCCGUAGUGAAAUCCAACCAUAAAUGAAGCUCAUGGGAAAAUAUGAAAUACCAGGGGCCCAGAUCCUAUGAACUACAUGUGUCAAAACGUGCAGAUGUCUUUAAAUGUUACUGGGAGUGUCUC